rnacentral:rRNA from 1 species
CCUACGGGCGGCAGCAGUGGGGAAUAUUGGGCAAUGGGCGCAAGCCUGACCCAGCAACGCCGCGUGAAGGAAGAAGGCUUUCGGGUUGUAAACUUCUUUUCUCAGGGACGAAGAAAGGGACGGUACGUGAGGAAUAAGCCACGGCUAACUACGGGACAGCAGCCGCGGUAAUACGUAGGUGGCAAGCGUUAUCCGGAUUUACUGGGGGUAAGGGGCGGGUAGGGGGGAAAGCAAGUCAGAUGUGAAAACCCUGGGCCAAACCUGUUGCCUGCAUUGGAAACUGUUUUUCUUGAGUACUGGAGGGGCAGACGGAAUUCCUCGUGUAGCGGUGAAAUGCGUAGAUAUGAGGAGGAACACCAGUGGCGAAGGCGGUUUGCUGGACAGCAACUGACGCUGAGGCUCGAAAGCGUGGGGAGCAAACAGGAUUAGAUACCCGAGUAGUC